CAGCCGCCGCGGUAAUACGUAGGUGGCAAGCGUUGUCCGGAAUUAUUGGGCGUAAAGGGCUCGCAGGCGGUUUCUUAAGUCUGAUGUGAAAGCCCCCGGCUCAACCGGGGAGGGUCAUUGGAAACUGGGAAACUUGAGUGCAGAAGAGGAGAGUGGAAUUCCACGCGUAGCGGUGAAACGCGUAGAGAUGUGGAGGAACACCAGUGGCGAAGGCGACCCUCUGGUCUGUAACUGACGCUGAGGAGCGAAAGCGUGGGGAGCGAACAGGAUUAGAUACCCCAGUAGUCCCUGUCUCUUAUAC
rnacentral:rRNA from 1 species